GGGCCCGUGGUGUAGAUGGAUAACAUAUCGGCCUGUCAAGCCGAAGAUCGCGGGUUCGAGUCCCGUCGGGCCCGCCA
rnacentral:tRNA from 1 species